GUUUGGCAAUUCUAUAUAUGCAUCGAACUUUUUCAAUUCAUUAUUUUAUGCUUUUACCUAUUGGUAUGCUUAGCGGUGAGAUUGUGAUAUAUAGAUCUUAAAGUAAUGCAAAUGCAUGGGGGUAUUCUUUCUUGUGCAUUACAUUUCUUUUAUAUCUUUAUUACAUGCUUGUGCUUUUGAAACAAAGUUUAAUUUAUGCUUCUUUACAAAAAUUUGUCUAAAUCUUCUUUUUACUAAAGCAAAACAAUUUGCACCAUCAGAUUUAUAAUCCUGUGGUGUUGGGCUAUUAUUCCUAUCUAAUCUUUGUUACCCCUUCAAUGGUUUUAGGUAUCCACUCAUAAAAAUGGUUGAUAUUUUGAGAAAGGGAACAUGUAAAGAGAAAAUAAAAGGGGUGAGAAAAAGAAAAAGAGGCAUGUGUAUGGGCAUUAAAAGCCACGAAUAUGUAAGAUAGGCAAAAAAUUCAGUGUAGGUCAGCCUUGAGAGAAAGCUAUGCUUAAAUGGGGGUAUCAAGAAUAAAGCCAAACAAAGUGUUCUAGUGGAAUGUCAAUGAUCAAAGGGAUCAUAUUCCAUCUAUGCAUUAUGGUUCAUUGCAAGAUCGAUUCAUUAAGAGAACAGAUAACAGAUUAGAGUAUUAAGCAGAGCAGUGUUAUCUGUAGCAGAAGUUCUAAAUCAAGCUGCACUUAUUAUGUACUAGAUUGAGAGAUUGCAUUUCACCUAUGCUGUAUAAGCUUAGUUGAUUAUAUGGUGUCCAACUAUUUGAGUGUAAUGUAAUUAUUAUUUUGUAUUAAUAUUAAUUUGUUAAUUAAAGUGUAGGUCAGCAUUGAGCGAAUGCUCUGCUUUUUAAUUGGGGUAUCCGAAUAAAGUCUAAAGUUGAUUCUCCCCGAAUGUCAAUAAUUAAAUGGAACAUAAGAGAAAACCAAAUUGCUCCCAUGAAAAAGUAGGGGUCGGACAUCAUUUGAAGAUUUGGAAAUAUGCAAAAAUAGCAUUUUGAAAUUGAAGGAUGUUGGAUAAUAUAGUCCUUCUAUUAGUUUGUUUUGUUAAUGAAUGUCAAUGGCUUAUGUGACAAACUCAAAUGUUA
rnacentral:lncRNA from 1 species